rnacentral:tRNA from 1 species
UCCCCUGUGGCUCAGUUGGUAGAGCAUGGUGUUUGCAACGCCAGCAUGGUGUGUGCAACACCAGGGUUGUGGGUUCGAUUCCCACGGGGGGCC